rnacentral:rRNA from 1 species
GACGAACGCUGGCGGCGUGCUUAACACAUGCAAGUCGAACGGAAAGGCCCUGCUUUUGUGGGGUGCUCGAGUGGCGAACGGGUGAGUAACACGUGAGUAACCUGCCCUUGACUUUGGGAUAACUUCAGGAAACUGGGGCUAAUACCGGAUAGGAGCUCCUGCUGCAUGGUGGGGGUUGGAAAGUUUCGGCGGUUGGGGAUGGACUCGCGGCUUAUCAGCUUGUUGGUGGGUAGUGGCUUACCAAGGCUUUGACGGGUAGCCGGCCUGAGAGGGUGACCGGCCACAUUGGGACUGAGAUACGGCCCAGACCCCUACGGGAGGCAGCAGUGGGGAAUAUUGCACAAUGGGCGGAAGCCUGAUGCAGCAACGCCGCGUGCGGGAUGACGGCCUUCGGGUUGUAAACCGCUUUCGCCUGUGACGAAGCGUGAGUGACGGUAAUGGGUAAAGAAGCACCGGCUAACUACGUG